rnacentral:misc_RNA from 1 species
GAGAACUUCUGGUGCCAUCCACUCGGGCUUACAUCGUAAAGGCAUUCAAUCAGAAAAGGCAUCAAGGUAAGAUCAAUACACAAACUGUACACUGUCCAUAAAAGAUAAAUAUUGGAUGAAGAUAUCAGAUUAUUACUGUUCCUGCAGUUGAUUUGGAUGACAAAAAGGUGUUAUGCUUCAAGCGUGACAACCCAAAAUCACAAACCUGCAAGUGAAAUUGAAUAGUCUUUCAUAAGGUGCUUGCUCAAAACAACAAAUUGUAAAGGCAAAUCAUAAUUUAUAUCCUCAUCUUUUGAGCAAAAUGUUAUUGUACAAUAUGUUAGGAAGAGGAAAAAAAAAAGAAGAGUUCUUAAAGAGACGGACAAAACACACAAACAACUUCUUGCACCAUUCUAACCAAUAAGAAGAUGCCGAAACUAUAACUCCAAUUCCAAACUAAACAAGCCAGCAGCAUCUCAGCUUGGCCAAUGCUAAAAGGCUGAAGCAAACACAAAAUCCCUAUUACCCAUUUGUAGGGCACCAUUUUGGUUAAAAGACCAUUAAGUUGUGACCUCUUUUUCUAUAGAAGUUUUAGAGAACAGAUGACUAAUACAACAAGCUUUGAUCAAGGCAGCAACAAAAGACCAGUUGGUGAAUAUAAAGACAUCAAUACUUGAACUGCAACUCAUAAAUCAGCACUAAUCUCAAGGAAGUACACCUAAUUCUAGAAACAACAAGAAAACAAUAGUAGAUAAUUCAAAAUGUUUCAGACAUCAAUGAAGAUUAUUCCACAUUCACAAAUAUACAUGCACAUACGUCAUUUUCUGUUAUACUGAUUAUUUUGAGAAGAAAUAUGCCAAUGAAUCAACAAAGUAAAAGCAAAAUAUACUUUGACAUUCCAGUUUUUAUCAACCAAAAGAUUUGGUGACUUCAAAUCCCGGUGAACGAUUGUUGGUAUACUGGCAUGCAAGCAAUUCAUACCCCUGGCCUGCAACAAGCAAAGACAUUUGAAUCAAACACAAUGAUGUUGAAUGCAGAUCAGAAAGAACAAAGAUUUUAAAAUUCUUGUACCACAUCGAGAGCCAUCUUUAUUCUUCGCUUCUCAUCAAUUUGACAAUGUGGACGAUGAAGAAUCCGGUAUAAACUUCCUCUAUUAAGGCAAACAUCAAUAUAACAACUUUCUUAACAGAAAAAAUUUGUAACUAUGGAAGUAGAAUAAGUAUGAAGCACACACUAGCAAAGUCAUAGUGCUACUAGCAAUUUCUGUUGCUCUGGCAUAAAAUAGAACUGACUAAGAAAAUAUGACCAACAAAAUGAAGGCACAGAGUUAUUACCUUGGAAGAAACUCUGUUAUGAUAGAGAGGUUUGGAGGGCGUGUUACAGCACCCAUGAAGAGGACAACAUUUGGAUGGCGCAAUCUCCGCAUUAUUCGCACUUCUCUUUUGAAUUCAGCUAAAGCAGCACCUGAGAAAUCCUGGUCUAAGAAUUUCUUCACGGCAACCUCCGUGCCAUUCCAAUCAGCAUGAUAAACCUCUCCAUAUGAACCUACUCACAAGAAAAACGUGAGACAGACAAAUAUAAAGGUAGAGAAAGAGACAAGGUAACCAAAAUACGUUGAGAUGCAAUGCAAAUAUUGAAAUAAUACCAAUGCUCACCCUACUAUAAAUAUAUUACAGCUGUAGCUGCAUUAGCAUUAGAAGAUACACUAGUUACAUCUUUCCAAAGGAACUACCAUUAUACCUGCAAAAUGGUCUCCAGCUCAAAAGAAAUAAGGGCCUGAAUUGGUUUUUCCAUUUCAAAAGAUGCUUUGCAGGGAACCAGAUAAACAAAUUUGCCAAGGAAAUGAUGAAAAAAAAAUCUGAAAACAGAUAUUUGUCUAUUACUACCAGAAUAAUUUUUGUGGCUUGAGAACUAAGAAUAAAACAAGAUCCAAACAGAGGCCUAAUUUCACAAAAAAGAUUACCAUAAAAACUUGUAAGACUGAUCAUGUUUAGAGAAUACUUCAUAUUGUAUGUAAGCGCAUGCAUAUUUCACAUUCUUUGUUCCACUUUUAUCAUUUAUAGUUGAAUGCACAUAAGCACAUAUUUGUUGCAAAACAGGCUUAGCCAUGAUGAAACCAUGAUUGGUAAUCACCACACAAAAACCUCAUCUGUCAAAUGUAUUACCUAGUCCAAUCCUCUCACCAAUAACCAAAUCUUCCCAAGGAAUUUCGCAUUCACCAACAUCUACAUCAUCAAAGAUUUGAUCAACCCUGUUCCUGGUGGAAUCAACUGAUGAGCUAGGACUUUCAGGUUCCUUUGGUUUCAGAUUGGUUCCCAAAAAUCUGUCCUGCAUGCACUUUUUCCAAUCAUGGAAACAAAUUUCAUUAUUUUCAUUAGCUUUAAUCAUGACUUCUGCAUCAUUUGUGAAAUUCUUCCCAUCCCUAGGAUUUUCUUCUUUAAAACUUGAGUGUACUUCCUCAACCAAAGGUGACUUGUAGCAUUGAUUGAUGCCAGAAGCCAAAGCUGAAGAGGUACCACUUGAAGAAUUCCCAGCAUCACCAUCUCUCCUGGAUGUAUUCAAAUUAUUGGAUGACUUGAGGCCUUGAGAAUAAACCUUCUCGGACAUAGUAGAGCUGGUAGAAGCUAAUGAUGACUGAUUAUAAUUAUUUGGUUCACGAUUAAUUCUUGGAAAGAGACCCUCUAUAUAGUCAUAUUCUUUUUUCCUGGGAACUUCAUUGUUUGCAUAUCGAUUCUUCCACAUCAAUGGUAUAGGGGGUCGACCAGGAACGGGAUUAUUUUUCUGCCCUUGAAAGUCCUCCACUUUCUUCUCAGCAGGUUUGAAACUUUUGCCAGUUCCUUUGAUCUGGAAUGGAUUAAGAUCUGAAAAAAGGAAUUUUGAAUCCUCUGAGCUAUUUUGACCAUAUGGAACAACAUUAACAUUCAUCCUCACAGCAUCACCAAUUCCAUGGGCUCCACGACUACCCUUGUACAGAGACGAUCCAACAACUGAGGAGGAAAUACUAUCAUGUUGAUUAGAAGGAGCUCCUCUACUAGAUACACCAGAAGAACCAACACCAACAUCACUAUUUGCACCAGAGAAUGAAGCCAAGGGCUCCACACUUUCACCACUCAAUCUUCUAUCCAAAGGCAAACUACCAUCCACUGAAGAGUUCUGACUACUGCCUUCACCCAAUAAUGGCUUUGAUCCAUUAUAAACAAUUCCAGAUUCACUAGAAGAAUGAAGACCAGGGAUUUUACCUAUGGUUGGAUUACAUGAUUUAAAGGUAGUGUCCCUCACACUUAGAACAUCAGCCGGUAUAAGUGUCCCUGGAUCUGCCAUGAGAUCAACCAAAAACUCCCUUUCAUCUUCCAACUUUAUUAUGUUGAUAGCAUCAUCUUCAAUGCCAGUGUAAUGACUACCCUUCACCAAUCGACAGGGUAAUCCCGUAUUGUCCGCCAAUACCUUAAAAAGUAAAGCUCGAUGCCGAGACAAACCAAUAUUAAUGGACCCAAUUGGCAACACACUCGUGUGAAGGGAUGUCCUCAACUCUGUGCUUCUUUCCAUCCACCUUGCCAACAUUAUGUUAGCAUCCUUUACUGGCCCACCCAUAUGUCCUGUAACAAGUUCGGCUAGCCUCUGUACCAAAAUACUGACAUCUGUAGCAGGGCAAUCUAGAGCAAUACAUUGGGAAACUUGCACCAACUCUUCCAAUCCAGGAUCAAUUGCUUGGUUGACUAUUACUGCUUCAAAACCAGAACUUCCACGGUUUGUUUCUAGAUCUGUGAGAGAUGGCAUUUUUCCUUGGACUGCUGGACUUGUGGAGAACACAUCAUAAAAACCAUCCAUUACUUUUUCCUCAUAAUCAAGCACAUUAUAUUCCCAAUACUGCCUUGACAAGGCCUCCGCGGCAGCCUCCCCCUUUUCCCGCCCUACAUCGAUCCGAUGAUGAUUAUGAUGAUGAUUCCCUCCCAAGCUCAGCAGCGUCGCCGCUCGGAUCUGAUCCUUCUCGGGAUCAUCCUUAAAAUCUGAAUUGGACGCGCUGAUCGCCAACGCCAGCUGCACCUGGAACUCCUCCUCUGACGAGAAGUAGUCCGUACGAUUAUUAGAAUUAUUCGCCGCAGGAGGAAUCGUCGUAGCAGUAACGGUGGACACCGGUGACGAAGAUGUUGAAGGAGGACUAGCCGGAGCGUUGCCCGGCGCAGUGCGGGGAUCGGAGGUGUAGGGUGGCGAGGGAGGGGUCUCGUUUGAUCGAUGUGGCUCGUGGCUACUCCCUAUGUGUAGCUUCUUGAAAAUGUGCUUCAUUUCCUCUUUUCUAUCUCUCUUUUAUCUGUCCGCUUUCCCUCGCUUUCUUUCCUUGGGCUUCUUCCUCUUCCUAUUUCAGUCUCCUAAUUAUCAAUUUUCUCGCUGUUCUUUCACUUUCCCUCACUUUCUCUCCGUGUCUGCUGUUUGGCUCUGAGGCUGAAAACAUUGGAACCUCGAGAAAGGAAAGUAAGA